rnacentral:lncRNA from 1 species
CAUUGGAAGAGGAACUACCCUGCUUACCUGAUAAGCCUGAAGAACAAGAAAGAUGGUACACCUUCUGAUGGUAUGUCUGAUCUGCUCGUUAUCAAAACUAACCUUACGAUUUCUUCUACUUCUAGUUGGAUUAUAAACUCUGAUUCUAGUGCUCAUUUAUGCAUUUUUAUGCAGGUUCUUGAGGAUAAUUAGAGGCUGAGAGAAGGAAAAAUGACCCUACGAGUCGAAAAUGGGACAAGAGUUGUUGCUGUGGCUGUGGAGAUCUAUUCUCUGCGACUAUCAUUCGGUGUUAGCUUAAUUCUUAUGAACC